rnacentral:lncRNA from 1 species
CUUUGGCUGAACAUAACUUGCUUGCACUUAUGGUCAAGGUUUUAUCAUAGAUUAUGUUCGUGGCUUAUUUCUAUUAAUUUCAGGAUGACAUGGACUAGAGCUAACGAUUGCUGUAUAACAAACAGCUAUUAAACUUCAAGGGCACAUAACAAUGAAUACCCAAGGCACUCAGCUUGUGCUCCAGAUCUUCUGGUCUGCUGCGUGUAUCUCUUCAACUCUUUGACUCAGCAGACUCCCAGCACAUGUCCUUGCUGUGGCAGUGUGAGUAGUGCAAGAAGGCAAGCAAAAUAUGCAAGGCUUCUUAAGAUCUAGACAUGGAGCUGGCCCGUUGACACUUCCAACAUCCCAUUCCAUUGGCCAAAUAAGAAAAGCAUGGAGAACCACAAGGAAAAUGUAUGACCAUAAGUUAACAGCAGAGGUCAUCCCAGUGAAUGGGAUACCCAUGGCCAAGGUGAUAAGAUGCCUCCUGUUCCCGUUGAUGACUUUGUGAACUUGGACAACAGAUUGACUCCUUUCUGACUCUGUCUCUAUAGCUACGAACUGUGAAAGUGAGAGGAUGGCUCUUUUCCAACUGGUGAGGUUCUUUAUUGCAAUGACACAAUCAAACCUGGGACCUAGGACUUGUGUAGCAUGGCAUGUUUCAUUCACAUCAAUCGCAGUACAGGGAUAUAAAUUUGAUUUGGAUUUUCAUAUUUUGCCAUAUGGUUCUCAAUUGGCAUUGUUUAAUCUGCUGUGGCGGCAAGCAUACUGUGCUAAAACAAGACAUAUGGAGCCCUUUUGCAGUAAAGGAAGAAAGAACAGAAGCAGAUGUCUGAACCAUUUAGGUAAGGAACCCCACUGUAGCUAA